AUGGUUUUGGUGUUAAUAAAUAUCUGUUCUUAUCAGUUUAACAUUUGAUACUUCCCCUAUCCGGGGACUACAUAUUACAUUGAUUUUUGGAUCACGGAGCUGGAGCUGGAGCUGGAGCCGGGGCUUGCUCGGUCCACUCCACGAAUCGGCCUGGUAUUGCAAUGUCUUCAGGAAUGGUGUGCUUCCC
ensembl:snRNA U2 U2 spliceosomal RNA